ensembl:ncRNA asRNA:CR46269 antisense RNA:CR46269
AUACCAAACCAGCUGUAGCUCUCCUAAGGUAUAAGAAAAUAAUAAUUAACCCAAUGACUAUUUGUUUUUAACAAAACUUACGAUGAAGAAGAGCAUUAUGGCAAACAAAAGCAGAAAGACUGCGCAGAAGAAUGUGGAGAAAAGCAUCAGUGGUCGGCGAUUGACUCGUUCCAGCAGCACGGGGCCCAGCAUGGAGGCGAACAAAUUGAGGGAACCCGCACCUAGGUUGGCCCACUCAGAAGCCUGACUGGAAAGACCCGCCUUUCGGAAAAUGGAGACGGAGUAGUAAAAUAUCUGCAGGGACAAACGAGAGGUGAAUCACUUUUUAGUCGCUCCGCAGGCUGCACCGUACGUACAGCAUUAAUGCCAGACAGCUGUUGGCCACCAAGAAAGGCGCAGACGAUGAUCAGCGGAAGUCGCAAUUGGGGGUCACGCAGGACCUGCAUCAAACUGCUGGUCUUCACCUCGCAAGCAGAUUCCUGCUCCAUCUCUUCCAUCUCGGCCUUCAGUGCGGCGCUGCCAGCCGUGUAACCCCUUAGUAGCUGAAGCUGGCGACGAGCAUCCUCCUUACGACCUUGGACGAUGAACAACCACUUGGGGCUCUCAGGAUACCACCUAAAAGGUGCAUAACACACAAGCACGAGAAGACCGUAGAAUGCGAGGCCGAAGUGCCAGUUCUCAGGACCUCCAAGCACCGAGCGCAGGCUGCAGACCUGCGCAAUCACCACCCCCAAGGUCAAGCCCAUUGGACAGAGGGGAGCCAAGGUGCUGCGCUGGGAGAGAGCCGAGAUUUCGCUGUGCCACAUGGACAUAAAGGAUGUUAGCAGACCGCCGGCCAGACCAACCAUCAUCCGACCCAGCAGAAGGAGCUCCACGGAACGCAACGGUCGACAUGCGUAAAAGCUAAUGGCUCCCAGACCCAGAAGGAGGCCACAGAUGAAGAAGCAGCCGCGACGUCCGAACCGAUUGGCCAUGGUGGCUCCAACAACUGAUCCAAUGGCGCCUCCAACGAGGAAUAUGGAGACUAUGGCAGACCACAGUAUUUCCAACCCCGCAUCACUUAAGUUCAGGUCAUAGCUGGCAAUCAGUGUCUCGUUGCACCAGGAGCGCAUGAGCUGGCCAAAUGGGAGAUGAACUUGUGCGGUGCUGACAAAUUUAAAGAGUACUCACUUCAGCGGGACUAUUCAUCACUCCUGUGCAAUAGCCCACGGGAACCGCCGCACCAAGCGACGAUCCGAUUGCCGCCCAAUUGAGGGACCAGCUCCACUGGGGCCGCUCCUCCUGGAAACGGGGACUGUUGGGACAUUUCCCACGAUAUUGGGGUUCCUUUGCCUUACCUGCUUGCCAUUUUCGUGUGCCAUUAGCGGCGCCUCUGAGAACGUUAAUGAUUGCUCCUGAAGCGAUUCGCCGACUUUUGGCUUUGCCAUUGCGUAUUUCGUGGGUGGUGGUGUUUCUUAUGGCGCUUUUGUGAGCGGAAUGCUGGUGAAUGGAGUAUUGCGGAUCGUAUAUCAUUCGCCGCGACGGAGACGGCAUUUUUCCACUGAGAAGUCGGUUAUCAAGCGCAGAGAUAACCGAUGGCAUAGUCGCACAAAUGCGCUAAGGGCAGGGCAUACCGUGCUUAUAAUUAAAGCGUUGGGAUGCCUUCGGCGUCUUAUGGCUUCAUCUUUGAGAUAUACAAGGUGCUUUAUUUGAAUUCGCUAAUCAUUAUCACG